rnacentral:rRNA from 1 species
GACGAACGCUGGCGGCGUGCUUAACACAUGCAAGUCGAACGGAAAGGCCCUGCUUUUGUGGGGUGCUCGAGUGGCGAACGGGUGAGUAACACGUGAGUAACCUGCCCUUGACUUUGGGAUAACUUCAGGAAACUGGGGCUAAUACCGGAUAGGAGCUCCUGCUGCAUGGUGGGGGUUGGAAAGUUUCGGCGGUUGGGGAUGGACUCGCGGCUUAUCAGCUUGUUGGUGGGGUAGUGGCUUACCAAGGCUUUGACGGGUAGCCGGCCUGAGAGGGUGACCGGCCAAAUUGGGACUGAGAUACGGCCCAGAUUCCUACGGGAGGCAGCAGUGGGGAAUAUUGCACAAGGGGCGGAAGCCUGAGGCAGCAACGCCGCGUGCGGGAUGACGGCCUUCGGGUGGUAAACCGCUUUCGCCUGGGACGAAGCGGGAGUGACGGUAAUGGGUAAAGAAGCACCGCUAACUACGUG